AAAAGUCUGCUGUGUGCGUGGUAUGGGAAAUUCGUAAUCCACAGAUAUAAUUCGGGAGCGAUACGUUCGCAGAAAUAGGCAAGGUCUGUAAAUUUUACGGAAAGUCCGAAUAAUUUCUGCUUCGACGCACCCACCUGCGAGAAGCGGGUUAAUACUUUUUCAUAACACGGCAUAAGCGGAUUUAUU
rnacentral:other from 1 species